rnacentral:tRNA from 1 species
GCCUGGCUGGCUCAGUCAGUGGAGCAUGGAACUCCUGAUCUUGGGGCAGUGAGUUCGAGCCCCACGUUGGGCA